UGUCCUGUUCCCAGAGCCUCGGGGGACUGAAUCCUGCCGUCCGUGGCUGCCUGGGGAAAAGAGCUUCCGAUGCAGACUCCACACCCAACGCUACAAAAGAAACAAGAGUCUGAGGAAGGUUCAACUUGCUGCAAAGACUGGGAAAGAAGUGCUGGGUUAUUGUAUAAGGAGGCACUGCAAGUGGAUUAGGGAAUGGAAGGAUAACCUUCAGAGGUUGGGAGGAGACCGAUUCUUCAUCAGCUCAGUCUUCAAAGAAGACAAACACAAGCCUACCAUUAAUAAGAGCCCACCAAAGCGCCGGUUGCUGAGCUGGACCAAACUGUGAAGGGCCUCAUCCACCUCUUGGUAGAGCUUCGUGACAGCCACAGUCUCGGCGCUACAGAGAGAAACAGUGGGUCAUUCUGGCUUCUGCUUAUCACAUUAGGGUAGUAUCCUGGCAGGAGGAGAAGGAACAACUUGCAAGGAUCAGAUGGGGGCCAGUGGAGACUGGAGGAGGGGGAAUAUAACAUAUUUAGGAGCCACCAGGUAAAAAUGAUUUCUCUCCCAGCCAUUUUGUAUUAUGUAGCUUGUGGGGUCCACUUGGAGUGCAAAAUGGUUGGUGGGGGAAAGAAUUACAUAUGGCUGUACUGCAAAAGAGUGCAGCUUCCCAAAGUUGCUUUUCUUAACAAAAAUUAGUCCUUCAGGGCUUUGUGAUGUAUAUCUAUAUGCAGCAUUUAGUUUGUGCCUCAGAAUGGCUGAACCCCAUUGAUUUCUGUGGUGAACUGCCUUGAGGAGGGAAAAGGGCUAUAAAUUCCCUAAAUUCAUAAACAGCAUGCUUCUUGAUCCAGAACUGACCAGGACACUGCUUUCUUAUUGUCAGUGACUGUCCCUUCUUUGCCUCCUUCCCUUUUAUAACUCUGUCUGUAGUCUGGGUGAUAAAUGGUGUUUGGAUCUCUCAGAAUAAAGGGCAUGCUGUCCAGCCAGUGAGCUGCCAAGUUGCCUCUGUGCAUCUUUUCCAUCACUGCAAUGCAAGCAGUUACUGUCUCUUUCUAAGACAUAGAUGUCGCUGAGAGAGAUGCCCUUGGAAAUUUGGCUCCCCAGGCUGCUGCCGAGUUUGCUUCUAUGUUGAGACCAACCCUGGAGUGCACAGACAGACUUUACAGACCUUGAAACAUGCAGUAGAGUCACCUCCAGCACCCUGCUCUACAGGGUUCAUUCAAAGUGCAGGACAGCUAACUGAACAACACUGAAGUGGACUGUGGGUCAAUUGGUGCUAUAAUUGCUUGACUUAACUGUGCUGAAAAGCAGCAAUUCUGGAAGAAAUUUGCCUCAAUACACUGCCAUCCAGUGUGGUUUAGUGGAUGGUGUUGGACUAGAAUCUGAGAGACCCAGGUUUGAAUCUCCACUCUGCCAUGGAGACUUGCAGGGGGACUUUGGGACAGUUACACUCUCUAGCUUAACCUACCUCACAGGGCUUGUGUGAGGCUAAAACACAGGAAAGGAGGACAAUGCAAGCUACCGUGGGUCCCCACAGGGGAGAAAGGUGGCAUAUAAAAUGAAGUAAAUAAAGAAAUAAUGAACACAGAAGGGGUGAAGGAGAUGGCAAAGGGCAGUCUC